UGGGGAAUCUUCCGCAAUGGACGAAAGUCUGACGGAGCAACGCCGCGUGUAUGAUGAAGGUCUUCGGAUUGUAAAGUACUGUCAUUGGGGAAGAACGGUUUUCUUGAAAAGAUUGAGAAGACAUGACGGUACCCAAGGAGGAAGCCCCGGCUAACUACGUGCCAGCAGCCGCGGUAAUACGUAGGGGGCAAGCGUUGUCCGGAAUUAUUGGGCGUAAAGGGCGCGUAGGCGGGCCUUUAAGUCCGGUGUGAAAGAUCAGGGCUCAACCCUGAGAGUGCAUCGGAAACUGGAGGCCUUGAGGACAGGAGAGGAAAGUGGAAUUCCACGUGUAGCGGUGAAAUGCGUAGAUAUGUGGAGGAACACCAGUGGCGAAAGGCGACUUUCUGGACUGUAACUGACGCUGAGGCGCGAAAGCGUGGGGAGCAAAACAGGAUUAGAUACCCUGGUAGUCCACGCCGUAAACGAUGAGUGCUAGGUGUAGAGGGUAUCGACCCCUUCUGUGCCGCAGUUAACACAAUAAGCACU
rnacentral:rRNA from 1 species